rfam:Aspergillus bombycis strain NRRL26010 contig00193, whole genome shotgun sequence.
UUAUAUGAUGAAUCUUAUUAUUCACACUGUGUGAUCCAUGCUCUGCAUGGUAUGAACAUUUUACAAAAAUUCUGAUUUAAUGAGGUGAGU